UCGUAGCUCUAGCUGUUGCAUGACUUGAGCAUGCAUUAGAGCUGUCUCUUCCACAAUGGAUGCCAUCUCCAUCAGAACCAGCCUGCAGCACGUUGGAUUUCAGAACUGAAUUGCUGCCCUUUCUGUUUGCUCUGGAGUUUGGAGUAGAUGGGGCAGGAUUUGAAGCCAAUAUUCAAAAGAUGAAGUUUGGAUGAAGAGCAACACAAGAGGUGGCUGUCAGCUGCUGAGAUUGCUGGCGUAUGGACACCAAUUUAAUGUAACCCCAAAGCCCAUGCUUGAUCCUGGUGAUGGUGAGAAGUGCGUGGAAAUGUCAGCCCACAGCCUCCUU